GAUGAAGAACGUAGUGAAAUGCGAUAAGUAGUGUGAAUUGCAGAAUUCAGUGAAUCAUCGAAUCUUUGAACGCACAUUGCGGCCCUUGGUAUUCCAUGGGGCAUGCCUGUUCGAGCGUCAUCUACAACCCUCAAGCCCUGCUUGGUGUUGGGCGUCUGUCCCGCCCCCGCGCGCGGACUCGCCCCAAAUCCAUUGGCGGCGGCCCUUGCCUCCCUCUCGCGCAGCACAUUGCGCCUCUCGAGGCGUCGCGGGCCGCGCUCCACGAAGCACGCAAACCAGUCUUUGACCUCGGAUCAGGUAGGGAUACCCGCUGAACUUAAGCAUAUCAAUAAGCGGAGGA
rnacentral:misc_RNA from 1 species